AGCAGCCGCGGUAAUUCCAGCUCCAAUAGCGUAUAUUAAAGUUGUUGCAGUUAAAAAGCUCGUAGUUGAAUUUCGGGAUCAGUACGCUGGUCGUGCCUCCGGUAUGUACUGGUGUCACUGGUUCCUCCCUUCUGAAGAACCAUCAUGCUAUUAAUUUAGUGUGGUGGGAAAUCAGGACUGUUACUUUGAAAAAAUUAGAGUGUUUAAAGCAGGCUCACGCUUGAAUGCAUUAGCAUGGAAUAAUGAAAUAGGACGUUGAUCCUAUUUUGUUGGUUUCUAGGAUUGACGUAAUGAUUAAUAGGGAUAGUUGGGGGCAUUAGUAUUCAAUUGUCAGAGGUGAAAUUCUUGGAUUUAUUGAAGACUAAACUACUGCGAAAGCAUUUGCCAAGGAUGUUUUCAUUAAUCAAGAACGAAAGUUAGGGGAUCGAAGACGAUCAGAUACCGUCGUAG
rnacentral:rRNA from 1 species